UGAUAAUUUAUACGCAUGUAACGGUCUGAUCGUUUACACGCAGGUAACGGUCUGAUCGUUUAUAAUCAGGUAACGGUCUGAUCGUUUAUAAUCAGGUAACGGUCUGAUCGUUUAUAAGCAGGUAACGGUCUGAUCGUUUAUAAGCAGGUAACGGUCUGAUCGUUUAUAAGCAGGUAACGGUCUGAUCGUUUAUAAGCAGGUAACGGUCUGAUCGUUUAUACGCAGGUAACGGUCUGAUCGUUUAUAAUCAGGUAACGGUCUGAUCGUUUAUAAGCAGGUAACGGUCUGAUCGUUUAUACGCAGGUAACGGUCUGAUCGUUUAUAAGCAGGUAACGGUCUGAUCGUUUAUAAGCAGGUAACGGUCUGAUCGUUUAUACGCAGGUAACGGUCUGAUCGUUUAUAAGCAGGUAACGGUCUGAUCGUUUAUAAGCAGGUAACGGUCUGAUCGUUUAUAAGCAGGUAACGGUCUGAUCGUUUAUAAGCAGGUAAUGGUGUGAUCGUUUAUACUGGUAACAGGAUGUUACCUGUUGUAACUCUUUGUUAAUUCG